AAUUUGUCUAAUUUGGUUUCAUGUUUUUAUAAUCUGGGUUUUUAGGUUGAGGAGAGGAGAAAGUUAAAAGUACUUUCACUUGUCUUUUGUUUUACAUUUUUAUAUUUUGAUUAUUCGAUCAUAUAUUUAGCACGUAUUUAAAAAGUAUAGUUUGUAGUUAUUACUCGACUUUAAUCUUUUUCAUCUUAGUGUGUUUUAUAAGAAAUUUUACUCCAAUUAUACAAUUUUGUAUUUAAUUGGAUUGCACGACAUCAAUCAAGACAACUUAAGUUUACUAUUUAAACUAGUUCUAUAUAAACAUAUAUAUGGAGUUCAAAAAGUAUACAUUUGCAUAUAUUUUUGAAUAGCAAAUUGGAUGUUGUUAAUUUUUUAGCAGGAAAAUGGGUAACUAAUUUCCUCCUAUGUUUAGGAUUUUUUUCUUUAUUCAGUUGAAACGGGAUAAAUUACCUUUGUAUCUUUAGAUUUUUAUGUUCUAAUGUAUGAGCUACGAUAUUAACAAUAACUCCUGCAAUCUAUUUUUGUUUUCAGGAUAUGUGAUUAAGACAAAAGGAGAACAUUUAAAAUUUAAAUUUGAGAUACUUUAAAAGUUUUAAAUUAAAAAAAAAGUUUUAAAUUAAUCAAAUUGUUAAAGCUAGUUUGCUCUGCUAUGUAAAUCUACCACUGGCAAAUUCAUAGGUUUUCAUACAGUAUAAAUGGAGAUUAAAAUUAUAUUAAAAUUAUUUUUAGGGAACAAAUAUCUGAAGGUUAAUAGAAUAGUUAUAUAAUUCAGUGAAUUUUUUUGAAUAGCAUGUGGCAACUGCAUUCAAAUGACAGUGUAAAGUUUUUAUAAUUGUUUACAAUUCCCUAUUGCUAUCUUACCCUUUCCAAUUAAAUUUAAAAAGAGUAAAAUUUGUGAUAGAUUGAGCAUGAAAUUAUUUUGAAUGUCUGAUACAACAUCACUAAUAGAUAAUUCAUAUAUGUUGCAUUUUAUAAUUUUAUCAGAUUAUCAUGGAAAUUAAAGCAUUGGAAAAAUCUAACAUGGUAGUUCAUGAAUUGAUAUUAUAAAGUAAUUACAGAAUUAUGUACCCAUGCUUAUUUUUCACUAACUAAAUGUUAAUGAAAGCUUAUUUUUGAGAAUAGAAUUAUCAUUGACCUUUUAAAAUUUUAUUUAAGUAAUAUAUACUCAUCACUGUUAUAAUGAUGUCAUUUUAACAUUAAAAUAUAUUUUGUACUUAUGCAUUUAGUAUUAGAACAUUAUGUUUAUAUGUUGUUAUUGGACAAUUUUGGAUUUUUGAAAAUUGUCUGGAAAAAUGUGGAAAAUGUUUUACAAUACUGAAUGUAAUAGGAAAAUACAAGAACUUUCUAAAUUUUUUAAAUGGACAAUUUUUCCAUUUUUUGUGUGACCUACAAGACUUAAUAUGAACUGAACCAUGAAUAUUUGUUCUAUGCCCAUUGUCGAACUUCGAAGAUGAACAAUCCAAUCUUUAGUUUUCUAGGCACAAUUGUUAAAUCCAUGUGAGAAAAAUUAUCCCUGAAUGGGGAAACCUGUUUUCAUAUAUUUAGUAUUGAAACAGUGGAAUGAUUUCUUCAAAAAAAUGAACAAUUUUAAAGAACAAACAAAUUUUAGUGACAAACUGCUUCUGCCUGUUUUCAUCUGGGAGUUGAUGUAUUCGAAGUUUUGGUACUGAUGUACCCAACUUUGCAUUCUAAGUGACAUUAUAAAUAAAUUUUGAGUUUUCAUGAAGAAUCUGCGAUUUAAAGACUAGGGGGAAAAAAAGGAGGACUACUACCCAGUGAAAUAAAAAAAGGAUAAUACAAGAGAGCAAGAAGGUGAGCAUAAUAAAAUAAAGUAAUUGUAGAUAACAUCAAGAACAUUCCUUUUACUAUGGAAUUCUGUAAAGAAUAUGUCUUUAUUCAAAACUAUAGGUGACCAUUAGAUAAUAUAAGGAACAUUCCUAUUACUAUGAAAUUCUGUAAUUAGUAGAUCUUAACUCAAAACUACAGGUUAAGUCAUAGCCAAAUAGAAGAUUAUUUUGUGCUGUGUCUGCUUGAGCAGCUUGUAUGGCCAGCUUAAUAGAAUGUCCUUGUUUAUAAUCUUAUUCUUUUCUUUGAAUUGAUGAUUAAAUUAUAUUGCAAGUUGGAAAUAAUGCAGUUUGCAUUUCAUUAAUUAGGAGAAAAGAAAUCUUAAAUAUUCAUACUUCAUAUCUAACUGCAAGGUGUGGUGACCGUGUGGACAAGAGUAUCAGAGAUACCUUCUACAGUAGUUCCUCACCAUCUCUUAAAUACUAUCAUUAUUUCUUCUUUUUGGACUUUAUUUUGUCAUGGUAUCUCAAGGGCUUUUUAUAAAUGUACUAUCAGCAGCAGAAAUGAUCUGCUGUUUGGCAAGUCAUUGCCUGGGCCUGGAGUAAUGAAUAUUUUUUUGUGUUUUCCUUUCUUAUUGUAUUUACCUUAUACCAUUUUCUUCCUCCCUUUCCCCCAAGUUUAUAUGUACUUUAUAUAUGGUUGUAUUUUUCGUGUGGCAAUGAAAUUAAUGCAACAAUCUGUACAGCACCAUUAUAUUUAGGUAAUUGUCUAAUUUUCUCAUGUACUCAGCCCUUCUAGUUUUGGCACUGUUUUGGAAUACUCUGUUUUUCAUUUAAUUAUAGUAAUAAUAUGUAAGUUUUCAUAAGUUCUCAAACGAGAUCAUGUUAAAUCUUAAAUAUCACCUCUAGUAGAAUAAUGAGACCCCUGCACCUUUCAUAAACAAAACCUACUGAAGCCCUAGAGUAGGUGGUACUCAAGAUUAAGAUCUGGGUUUGACUGUAGUUAAAAUCUUUCAUAUUGAAUGAAGGACAUGUGUGUCAUCACAAUUUUGAUCAUGCAAGGCAGAGCAAAAUCAGCAGUUUGAACUAUGGUAAUGCUUUGUUGAAUGCUCUGUUACAUUGUUUUCAGGAUAUCAUCAGAAUUUUUAAAAUGUCAGUGUAUCAGGAGACUUCACUAAUAGCAUAAUAAGCCAAUGUUUAUUUGUUCUAUGUUUAAAUUCCAUGUGUUUGAUAUAUAUGACUGUUUAAUUUUAAGUUUUAAUCAUCAGUUUCUGUGAACUUUGACAUUAGUUUUCAAGAACAGCUAAAUGCACUGUUAAACUACGAUACACAGGUUUGUAAGAUAGAACAAAUAAAUAGGCAUUAGGGAUGAAUGGUUUGUGAACAUCAAAAUGGUCAUGCGUCCUUCAUCUUUUUCUGUCCCUUGUAGACAGUAGCUAACCAUUAGUUAAAUAGUAUCUAGUAAGUUUUUUAAGUGCAUAUAAGUUUAUGUGGUAUCCACUUUGCAAGUGUGUCCUUAUGGUAAAUAUUUACUAAUAUUGUGGAUGUAUUUAAAUCAAUAAAUAUAUCUUACUGAAAUUUCUAUUGAAUGGAAGUAUAUAUCAUUUGUUGUUGAACUCACAUGAAAGAGCCCCUUCGUUCAGUGCUGAAUGUUAGGAUUUACUAUGUAUAUUACUGCAUAUGUUAAUCUAAAUGUAUUCCUAAUUUAUAAAAUACAUCCCUAGUUUUGCCAUUUUGGAUCAUCAGUCUUGCAUAUUUUAAUUUAAAUAAAUAUUAUAAAAUUUUA